UACAGAGGUCUCAACCGUUGUUCGGAUUCAUUGGGCGUAAAGGGUGCGUAGGCGGCGGGGUAAGUCAGGUGUGAAAUCUCGGGGGCUCAAACCCCGAAACUGCACUUGAUACUGCCUCGCUUGAGUACUGGAGAGGAGACUGGAAUUUACGGUGUAGCAGUGAAAUGCGUAGAUAUCGUAAGGAAGACCGUGGCAAGCGAGUCUCUGGACAGUUACUGACGCUGAGGCACGAAGGCCAGGGGGAGCAAACGGG
rnacentral:rRNA from 1 species